UACGGGGGGGGCAAGCGUUGUUCGGAAUUACUGGGCGUAAAGGGCUCGUAGGUGGCCAACUAAGUCAUACGUGAAAUCCCUCGGCUUAACCGGGGAACUGCGUGUGAUACUGGAUGGCUUGAGUUCGGGAGAGGGAUGCGGAAUUCCAGGUGUAGCGGUGAAAUGCGUAGAUAUCUGGAGGAACACCGGUGGCGAAGGCGGCAUCCUGGACCGACACUGACACUGAGGAGCGAAAGCCAGGGGAGCAAACAGG
rnacentral:rRNA from 1 species